rnacentral:misc_RNA from 1 species
GGAGGUAAAAGUCGUAACAGGGUCUCCGUUGGUGAACCAGCGGAGGGAUCAUUACAGGACUCGCAAGACUCCUUCACCCUGUGAACCUCACUACAAGCACGUUGCUUCGGCGGGUGUCCCGGCGGGGGUUUUCCCUCGCCGGGGCGCACAGCCCGCCGGCAGCCUACUAUACUCUGUCUCUUUGCGUUGGCAUCUCGAGAAAAAACAAACAAGUUAAAACUUUCAACAACGGAUCUCUUGGUUCUG